rnacentral:rRNA from 1 species
CCUACGGGGGGCUGCAGUGAGGAAUAUUGGUCAAUGGGCGCAAGCCUGAACCAGCCAUCCCGCGUGCAGGAAGAAGGCGCUAUGCGUCGUAAACUGCUUUUCCAGGGGAAGAAAACCUGAUACGUGUAUUGGCUUGCCGGUACCCUGGGAAUAAGCAUCGGCUAACUCCGUGCCAGCAGCCGCGGUAAUACGGAGGAUGCGGGCGUUAUCCGGAUUUAUUGGGUUGAAGGGGGGUGAAGAAGUCUGUAUAGAAAACCUUCAGCUUAACUGGAGACUUGCCAUUGAUACUGUUAGUCUUGAGUACGGUCAAGGUAGGCGGAAUGUGUAAUGUAGCGGUGAAAUGCUUAGAUAUUACACAGAACACCGAUUGCGAAGGCAGCUUACUGGGCCAUUACUGACGCUGAUGCACGAAAGCGUGGGGAGCGAACAGGAUUAGAUACCCCAGUAGUC